CCUACGGGCGGCAGCAGUGAGGAAUAUUGGUCAAUGGCCGGAAGGCUGAACCAGCCAAGCCGCGUGAAGGACGAAGGUGCCAAGCAUUGUAAACUUCUUUUGUCAAGGGACAAAAUCAGGCUCGAGAGCCUGACCGAGGGUACUUGAAGAAAAAGCAUCGGCUAACUCCGUGCCAGCAGCCGCGGUAAUACGUAGGAGGCGAGCGUUAUCCGGAAUGACUGGGCGUAAAGGGUGCGUAGGUGGUUUGGCAAGUUAGUAGCGUAACUCCAAGGCUCAACCUUGGAACUACUACUAAAACUGUUGGACUUGAGUGCAGGAGGGGCAACCGGAAUUCCUAGUGUAGCGGUGGAAUGCGUAGAUAUUAGGAGGAACACCAGUGGCGAAGGCGGGUUGCUAGACUGUAACUGACACUGAGGCACGAAAGCGUGGGGAGCAAACAGGAUUAGAUACCCCUGUAGUC
rnacentral:rRNA from 1 species